rnacentral:rRNA from 1 species
AGUGAACGCUGGCGGUAGGCCUAACACAUGCAAGUCGAACGGCAGCACAGUAAGAGCUUGCUCUUAAGGGUGGCGAGUGGCGGACGGGUGAGGAAUACAUCGGCAUCUACUUUUUCGUGGGGGAUAACGUAGGGCCACUUACGCUAAUACCGCAUACGACCUACGGGUGAAAGCAGGGGAUCUUCGGACCUUGCGCGAUUGAAUGAGCCGAUGUCGGAUUAGCUAGUUGGCGGGGUAAAGGCCCACCAAGGCGACGCUCCGUAGCUGGUCUGAGCGGAUGAUCGGCCACACUGGAACUGAGACACGGUCCAGACUCCUACGGGAGGCAGCAGUGGGGAAUAUUGGACAAUGGGCGCAAGCCUGAUCCAGCCAUACCGCGUGGGUGAAGAAGGCCUUCGGGUUGUAAAGCCCUUUUGUUGGGAAAGAAAAGCAGCAGGUUAAUACCCCGCUGUUCUGACGGUACCCAAAGAAUAAGCACCGGCUAACUUCGUG